rnacentral:sRNA from 1 species
CCAAGGUGGGCAGAUCGCUUGAGCCCAGUAGUUCAAGACCAGCCUGGGCAACUUGGAGAAACCCCACCUCUACAAAAAAAAUACAAAAAUUAGCCAGGCAUGGUGGUUGGCACCUGUAGUCCUAGCUACUUGGGAGGCUGAGUGGGGAGGAUCACCUGAGCCUGGGAGGUUGAGGCUGCAGUGAACUGUGAUCGAGCCACUGCACUCCAGCCUGGGUGACAGAGUGAGACCCUGUCUUAAAACAAAUAAACAAAUAAGAAAAUGGUACACAUUUCUCCUGUUGAGCCACAAGAGGGAGGGGCUGUGUGAACCUCAUCUGUAGUUUAGGGGCAGCUUUUAUUGGAGUUUCUUUACCACCGGCUUUAAAUGUGUUCAGAGUAGAAUUAGGACUUUCCCUUCAGCAGAGCUUGGGAUCUUAGCCCUGGCAGAAUUCCAGGGAUGUCUUUAUGUUUUAAAGUCGCCAGCUUUUGGAACUGUGGGAGGCCUCUGGUAUUCAGCCCUGCCGCUAGACUGUGGGGCCACUGGGGUGCUCUCCGCUCCCCAGUCUCGCCCCCACUUCUGUACCUCAGGAGGUUUCUCUGCACCUCACUCCCUCGCGCCCAACCUUCCAUGAAGCCCGUGUGAGGGAGUUGGCAGGGGGCAGAGGCGGGCUGUGCUGGGGCUCCCUGGAGUCCUCAUCUGUCACGCCAGUCCCCACGCGGUCAUGAACUUCCACUCAUUUCCCCUCACGCAGGGCAUCCCGCCCUGCUGCCUCGCACCAGGGUGAAAGCUGUGGGCUCCUUCCCCAAGGAAGGGCUCGUCCUGUCUGCAUUUUGAUUAAUUUAGGUCCCUUUGCAUUGCCAGCUCUCAGAUGGCUUUACCUUUGAUUUUGUUGCUUGUUUGGCUUGUUUUCAUCUUUAGGGCGAGACAGUCUUUUGUAACUUUUCUACCUUCUGACUAGAAGUGGAUGCCGCCUGCAUUUUCUUAACACCUUUUUCCCCAGCUUAUUUUGGAAAUCGUCAAACCUACAGAGAGCUGAAAGAACAGUACAGUUAACAUCUGUCCACCCUUCACACAGAUUCACCACUUGUGAACAUUUUAAUGCAUUAACUUUAUGUGUCUGUCUACUUAUUUAUGCAUUUGUAUGUGUAUACUUUUUCCUUUUUUUUCCCCUAACCCAUUUGAGAGUAAGUUGCAGCCAUCAUAACCUGGAUCUCCCCAAAAACAAAGACGUCCUCUUGUGUGACCACAGUUGAAUUGUCCUACCUUAGAAAUUCAUCCUCGAUGUGAUAAUACUGACUAAGGUAGACAGUCCACAGGCCAUCCGGAAAAUCUGGAAACAUUGACAAAUAUGCAUGUCAUUGUCAAGGUCAUCUCCAAUCUGUGAAAAAUAAAUCAUCUGCAUUUCUAGACAUCUAUUAGUAUUUUAAUUCUCCCCAGCUCUCCCCAAAACAUCCUUUUUAGCUGCUUUUAAAAAAUUCAGCGUCCGUUGAAAGCACCAGUGUUGCCUAUGACCUGCCUUUUUACCUCUUUUUACCUAGAAAGUCUCACUUCUUUUUUGGGAGACUCUUUUAUGACAGUGACAUUGCGCUGUGUCCAGGCCAGUUCUUUUAUAAAAUGUUCUACGAUCUGGAUUCAUGCAUGUAUUUCCACAUGAUGCUGAGUAUUUUAAGAUAAUUCAAGAAUCAGGUUUUCGUAUGAAACGAUCGCAAUGCUUCGGCACUGCACAGGCCACAGAAGCCUGCGGCUGCCUCCGGCCCCGCCUGCUCCCGCUCCCCCAGGCCUGCCCUGCCCUUUUUCUUCUCUUCCUGCUUCUCCCUCGCCCUCAGCCCAGCAGCGUCUCAUGGGCAGUCCAGGCUUUCGGGGCCGGGUUGGGCAGCAGCCCCUGCAGCCGGUCCCACUGAGUCUGCCCUGCCUUCCAGAUUCUGGUACAGGUCAAAGAGGUCCUCUCCAAGCUGAGCACGCUCGUGGAAACCACACUCAAAGAGGUGCGCGUUGUGGGGCAGUGCGGGGAGGGCCAGCGGGGGUGGGCUCUCUGGCUGGGGAGGGGCCACAGAGCUCAGGAACUCACGGAUCCACCUCCCUCUCUCCCUCACACCCCACCCCUGUGCCUUUCCUCCUGAAUAUCCCAUUUCUCUCCUGGCCUCUUGGUCUUCGUUUGUGUUCCCUGCUUGUGUCUCUUGCAUGAUUCUUCUUGGUCUACUGUGAACUCUUACCCUUCCCCUCACCUCUGCCCCCUCCCCAUGUCUCUCUCUGGGCCCCUCCCUCUCCGCUGGCCUCUUUUCUUUCAGACAGAGAAGAUUACAGUAUGCGGGGACACCCAUGGCCAGUUCUAUGACCUCCUCAACAUAUUCGAGCUCAACGGUUUACCCUCGGAGACCAACCCCUAUAUAUUUAAUGGUGACUUCGUGGACCGAGGCUCCUUCUCUGUAGAAGUGAUCCUCACCCUUUUCGGCUUCAAGCUCCUGUACCCAGAUCACUUUCACCUACUUCGAGGCAACCACGAGACAGACAACAUGAACCAGAUCUACGGUUUCGAGGGUGAGGUGAAGGCCAAGUACACAGCCCAGAUGUACGAGCUCUUUAGCGAGGUGUUCGAGUGGCUCCCGUUGGCCCAGUGCAUCAACGGCAAAGUGCUGAUCAUGCACGGAGGCCUGUUCAGUGAAGACGGUGUCACCCUGGACGACAUCCGGAAAAUUGAGCGGAAUCGACAACCCCCAGAUUCAGGUGAGCAGCACGGGGCCAGGUGUCUCCAGCAGAAAGGGGCAGCCUGGGCUGAGCUCUCCCCCACAACCCAGCCCUGCCUCAGAGGAUGGGCUUUGUGCCCUUGGCAAGAAACAGCGGGUCUGAGCCUCAGGUUCCUCACCUGCGACUUGGGCCAGUGCACCUCCUUCAUGGGGCUGUGAUGGCAAGCACGAUCGUGACCAUGGUGCGGGGCGAAGGCACGGUGACCGCCGAGCACACCUGUCCUUAUUUAUUUGUGAGUUCAGCUGUGGAACCCUGGAAGGAGGGGAGGUCUUGGGGCUCCUGUCCUAGUGACGGGCACACUUCAGAGAGUUCACCCACAGGUGCACACACACAUGCACACUGUGAGUGCUGCAGAGGACAUGGAUUGGGUGGGCUGGUGCCGGGUGCUCAGGAAGGCCUCUCCAGGGAGGCGAGGUUUGAGCUGACACUGCGGGAAGCAGAGGCACCUGCCAUGCACAGAGCCUGGCGAGCAUAUUCCAGGCUUGAGGAGGGGUCCUAAGGCAGGGAGAAGUUGGCGAGUGGGCAGGGCUGUGCUUUGAGGGCUGACAUUGGACAUGGGGUUCACUGGGCCCAAAUCCUAUGGCGCUUUACAGGCCCCAGUGAGGAACUUUGUUCCUAGGGCAGUGCGGAGCCACCAAAGGCUUUGAGUGGGAGAGGGGCCUGAUCUGAAUAGUGACAUUGAAAGCUCUGUCUGGCUUCGGGGUCACAGGGGAUUGAAUGGGGUCUGGAGGGCAGAUCAGCAGAGAGGGUGGGGGUGGCUCAGAAUCACAGUCGCCUGUCCUGAAUGUCCAUGUCCAUGCUGGAUGUCCCCUGCCCAACACCCACCCAGGCGGGGCUGUGGGGUCAGCACCUGGCCGGGCCAGGAGGUGGCCUGUGAGUGACCACCCCCGGGGAGGUGGACGGGUCCCUAAUGUUUCCCUCGCUCCCCACCAGGGCCCAUGUGUGACCUGCUCUGGUCAGAUCCACAGCCGCAGAACGGGCGCUCGGUCAGCAAGCGGGGCGUGAGCUGUCAGUUUGGGCCUGACGUCACCAAGGCCUUCUUGGAAGAGAACAACCUGGACUAUAUCAUCCGCAGCCACGAAGUCAAGGCUGAGGGCUACGAGGUGGCUCACGGAGGCCGCUGUGUCACCGUCUUCUCUGCCCCCAACUACUGCGACCAGAUGGGGAACAAAGCCUCCUACAUCCACCUCCAGGGCUCCGACCUACGGCCUCAGUUCCACCAGUUCACAGCAGUGGUGAGUCACCCCUCAGGGCCCCCGCCCCUCCCAUCCCGGCCUGGGGACAAGGAGGCUGAGACCCUGGUAAGGGGCAGGGGUAGGUUCUGCUGGUGGGUGCUCAGGGGCUCUGUUCUGACUUCUGUCCAUCCCACCUGCCCUGGUCCCACAGCCUCAUCCCAACGUCAAGCCCAUGGCCUAUGCCAACACGCUGCUGCAGCUAGGAAUGAUGUGAGGUGACGGGCGGAGCGGCCUGCAUCCCAGGGCCCCUCCACUCCCACCCGACCCGGGCCCCAGGCCAGGGGCAGAGCAGGCCCCGCCCCAGGGCAAUGUUGGACCCCCUUUUACUUUGUAAAGUUUGUAUUUAUUCCCCUUUAGGUUUGCAGAGGGGGUAGGGGCAGAGUCAGGGGCUGGCCAGAGGGUCUGCUCCCUGGACAGAGAGGAAGGAGGUGGAGCAGCUGGGGCUGGGGGCACAGCCCGGGCAUUCUGUGGGGAGGCCGUUCUCGGGGUGGGGUGGGGCCGAGUGGCUGCCCUGCCCCCCUCAUUUGCAUGGCUCGUCCCCCACUCAAGCAAUAGGGCCCCGCCAUAGGAAGACCCCCAGAGAGAGGGUCAGCAGGGGGGCCCCGCCUGCGCCUCCCCUCCUAUAGCCCCAUGGUGGGGCUAGGCUGGGGCUCACCCCCCUCCCCAGCUAUUUUAUGUCUGUAAUUAAAUAUGUUAAAAUAAAGUCAUUAUCGG